rnacentral:rRNA from 1 species
AGAUUGAACGCUGGCGGCAUGCCUUACACAUGCAAGUCGAACGGCAGCACGGGAGCAAUCCUGGUGGCGAGUGGCGAACGGGUGAGUAAUAUAUCGGAACGUGCCCAGUCGUGGGGGAUAACGCAGCGAAAGCUGUGCUAAUACCGCAUACGAUCUAUGGAUGAAAGCGGGGGAUCGCAAGACCUCGCGCGAUUGGAGCGGCCGAUAUCAGAUUAGCUAGUUGGUGGGGUAAAAGCCUACCAAGGCGACGAUCUGUAGCUGGUCUGAGAGGACGACCAGCCACACUGGAACUGAGACACGGGUCCAGACU